UACGUAGGGUGCAAGCGUUUGUCCGGAAUUAUUGGGCGUAAAGAGCUUGUAGGCGGUUUGUCGCGUCUGCUGUGAAAUUUCGGGGCUCAACCCCGAACUUGCAGUGGGUACGGGCAGACUAGAGUGUGGUAGGGGGUGACUGGAAUUCCUGGUGUAGCGGUGGAAUGCGCAGAUAUCAGGAGGAACACCGAUGGCGAAGGCAGGUCACUGGGCCGCAACUGACGCUGAGGAGCGAAAGCAUGGGGAGCGAACAGG
rnacentral:rRNA from 1 species